CUUUGCGUUGGACAAAAAAAAACGAACGGACAAUGUCUAUAAUUUCGAAAUAUGUCAUUUUAUUCUAAUACGUCUAUUGUAAUAUUAUUGGAUAGGUUUUAAAUAAUUUCAAACAUGAAUAAUAUACUUCCAAAUUUAGUUAGAUUCUUGUCUAAUUUUCACAUCUUUAAAAGGUUGCCCGAAGUUGACAAAUGUGUUAUGUUACCUUUGAAAAUUGGAUGUAUGGCUAUUGCUUUGUGGUAUAUUUGGACUAGUGGCGUGAUCAUAGUAAUGGCGAUCUAUACGAAAUAUUUCUUCAACAAUCAGUCUUACAACUGGGUGUGGCUCGGCAAUAAAUAUCAAUGUAUUAUGAACAAAAAUGACUACAAAGCAAACACAGUCGAAUGCCCACAAUAUAUGUUUUUGAAUUCUUCAUUUAAAGCAUUCAUUUUACUGGUUGAAACUGCAUUGUUUAUCGGAAGCGUGGUGUUGUGUAUAGGCGUUCAUUUGCAAAAAACAAAAUGUCUCACGGUGUUUCUAUAUACGUAUAUCACCACAAGAGCCAUUGACUUAUUCUUUAUGAUUGUUUUCAUUGCAAUCGGCGCAUUCGGCAGCUGUAAAGCGAAGAAGAUCAACCGGUUCAACUGUAUGGCCUCGUUUUCCAUUGUUCUCACUACGACCUUUUACGUCAUUGUAGUCGUGAAUAGUUUAAGAUCUUACAUGAGAAAAAUUGCGGCUUUGACGCAUUUAUGGAUUGAAGACGACUUGUGAAGAAUUAAUCUGUUGAUCACAGAAUACCACAAGAGAGGAAUAUAGAAGUGUCAUAAAAACCAUAAGCAGCCGGCCGUAUAGUGUGCCACAUAUUAGGCCGUCCAUAUUUAAGUCUAAAAUUAACUUUUAAACAAAAUGCCAGUUUUGUUUUUGUAAUAUUUUUAUUUAUUAAAUCAAUAAUUAAAUAAUAAUUGUUAGAAACUCCAUAUAACUGGGAAACGAACGGGAUUUUCGUAACUGCAAACUUGGAUGUACGUUACUGAUGUCCUAACAAUAUACUAAAAAGUAGAACUAGGAUUUUGUUUGUUAAGUAUUUUAAUAUUCAAAUGGAUAUAAUUAGCAGUGCGUUCCCCGUGGACCCCCUGGUGGGGGCUAUUCAUUCUAUGGAACAUGUAAAAUUUUCUCAGCUUUGGCCUAGAGAGGUAU